rnacentral:rRNA from 1 species
UACGUAGGGGGCAAGCGUUGUCCGGAUUUAUUGGGCGUAAAGAGCGUGUAGGCGGCUAGGUAGGUCCGUUGUGAAAACUCGAGGCUCAACCUCGAGACGUCGAUGGAAACCAUCUAGCUAGAGUCCGGAAGAGGAGAGUGGAAUUCCUGGUGUAGCGGUGAAAUGCGUAGAUAUCUGGAGGAAUACCGGUGGCGAAGGCGGCAUCCUGGACCGACAUUGACGCUGAGGAGCGAAAGCUAGGGGAGCAAACGGG